AAAAUGAGCCAUUGUAGACGCUGAAAACGUAUUAAAUUUCUCGUGUACCUCGCAUAGCCAUUACUGCGCCCAGGCACCAGAGAUCAGAGAUUAAAAUUUCACUUGGUUUUGAAUUGAAUGGAUUAUUCAGAAUAAGACUCUCUAGUCGUAAUGCUUGAUUCACAUAAUUUCGCAUAAUUUUCUUCAUGUCAUUAACUCGGUACUGACUGUAGAAGAAUUUUUUCAUCCAUUCCAUUUAAUUACGCCGAAAUGAUUCAUGGAAUUCAUUUAAUCGAAUGCUAAACUGUGAAUAUAAAUUAUCUCUUUGAAAUCUUCUUAUAAUGGCACUGACUAUCCAAUGGCAGUUAAGUCGAAUGUAGUGGUAGUUGCAUAAAUCAAAUGUGCAGCAAAAAAGGUAAUGAUGUUCCAACAGAAGUUAACUCGAAGAUAUGGAUAUAGAUCAUGGUGCAUUCUGGAUAGAGAGUUGGGGUUAAUUGGGUUUCGAUCUUAUGUUGAAAAUGCCCUAUCUGUUUAAUUUAGGAGGCUGCUGAGACUAAGGAUAGAGAGUUGGGGUUAAUUUUGGUUACCUGCCCUGCAUAUCCUUAGCAAGAAAGAGUUUUUGAGUGGGUGGGAGAGAAGCUUUGUUCAAUGGCAGCUCUGGAAAGUGAUUUCAAGAGGGCUAUGGAUUUGAACAGUGAAACCAAACGUUCCAAGAGCUCUGAUCUGACAAGUCACAUUUGGGGAAAUGCUCAUUGACUUUGUGCCCACUGUCUCUGGUGUUUCAUUGGCCAUGGUACCGGCCUUCAAGAAGGCUCCGGGUGGUGCACCAGCUAAUGUGGCUGUAGGGAUAGCCAAGAUGGGGGGUCAUGCAGCUUUCAUUGGGAAGGUUGGUGAUGAUGAAUUUGGACAUAUGUUGGCUGGGGUUCUUAAGGAAAAUGGUGUUGAUGACAAGGGGAUAUUGUUUGAUAGUCAUGCUAGAACAGCUCUUACUUUUGUAGCAUUGCGAAGUGAUGGAGAACGAGAGUUCACAUUUUAUCGUAAUCCCAGUGCUGACAUGCUAUUGACAGAGGCUGAACUUGAUAAGGACCUAAUUCAACAGGCACGAAUAUUUCAUUAUGGUUCAAUAAGUCUUCUUACAGAGCCAUGCAGAUCAGCUCAUUUUGCAGCUAUGAAAAUGGCAAAAGAUGCUGGUGCUAUCUUAUCAUAUGAUCCCAAUCUUAGGUUGCCAUUGUGGGCAUCUCCUGAAGAGGCUCGAAAUGGCAUUUUGAGCAUCUGGGAUAAAGCAGAUGUAAUUAAGGUCAGUGAAGAUGAAGUAGCAUUCCUUACAAAUGGUGGAGACUAUGAAAAGGCUGAAGUGAUUGAGACACUUAUGCAUCCUGGACUCAAGUUACUACUUAUAACUGAAGGAGGAAAAGGUUGCAGAUACCAUACCAAGAAUUUUCGAGGAAAAAUCAAGGGGUUAGCAGUGAACCCUGUAGACACAACUGGUGCUGGUGAUGCAUAUGUUGGGGCAUUUCUAAAUGAACUGGUCAAGUACAUGUCAUUACUUGAGAACGAAAAUAGAUUGAGGGAAGUUCUACUGUUUGCAAAUGGUGCUGGUGCAAUAACAACAACAGAAAAGGGUGCAAUUUCUGCAAUGCCAGACAGAGCUACUGUAAUGAGCCUCAUAAACAAGAGCCAGACUUCUUAAGUCUGCCUGAUUUAUUUGGACAGGUAUAAGUUCGAAAGCAAAUUGCAGUGGUAUGUGCUUCGAAUGGGGUGAAUUAUAGUGUCUAUUACAAAAUUUCUUCUCUUGUAAUCAGCUUGGAAAGCUUUCUUAAAUUGGGAUGUGUCUAUUCUGGUUCCAAAACGACAGUACUGAUUGACCAACACGUGGUCAACAGUCUAUAAGAAAGGUCUGUUUUGAAGCCAGAAUACACACGGCCCUCAAAUUGAGCUUUUCAUUAACUUAAAGGUUCAGAAAAAUGUUACACUUUUGUAAAGCUUCUCUUUCAAAUAAAAUAUCUGGUUUUUGC